rnacentral:rRNA from 1 species
UACGUAGGGGGCAAGCGUUGUCCGGAUUUAUUGGGCGUAAAGAGCGUGUAGGCGGUUUGGUAGGUCCGUUGUGAAAACUCGAGGCUCAACCUCGAGACGCCGAUGGAAACCAUCAGACUAGAGUCCGGAAGAGGAGAGUGGAAUUCCUGGUGUAGCGGUGAAAUGACGCAGAUAUCAGGAAGAACACCCGUGGCGAAGGCGGCUCUCUGGAACGCAACUGACGCUGAGACGCGAAAGCGUGGGGAGCAAACAGG